rnacentral:rRNA from 1 species
UACGUAGGGUGCGAGCGUUGUCCGGAAUUAUUGGGCGUAAAGGGCUCGUAGGCGGUUUGUCGCGUCGGGAGUGAAAUCCACUGGCUUAACUGGUGGCUUGCUUUCGAUACGGGCAGACUGGAGGUAUGCAGGGGAGAAUGGAAUUCCUGGUGUAGCGGUGAAAUGCGCAGAUAUCAGGAGGAACACCGGUGGCGAAGGCGGUUCUCUGGGCCGAUACUGACGCUGAGGAGCGAAAGCGUGGGGAGCGAACAGG